rfam:TPA: Bos taurus chromosome 13, whole genome shotgun sequence.
UCCCAGGCAGUCCAGUGGUUAGGACUCUACGCUUCCAAUGUAGGAGGCAUGGGUUCAAUCCUAGUUGGGGAA